rnacentral:lncRNA from 1 species
CCCACCGCCCAUUCCCUCUCUCUCUCUUUCUUUGACCGGUCAAUGCAUAUCCUUCUCUCUCUCUCUCUCUCUCUCUCUCUCUUUCUUCUUCUUCUUCUCCCUUCCUCCGCACGUCCAGCAAGCGAAAACCAGAAGCCGAACCAGAACCAGCUCGCCCCUCAGCCGUCGCCGCCCGUCCCGCCGCCGCACCGCCGCUCGCACGCCCGCGACAGCCGCCCGCCCGUGCGCCCGCCGUCCCGCCGUCCGUCGCUCGCUGCAGCGCUUUCCCCGAGCGGACCCAGCUCUGUUCGCUCCUGUUCUAGCUCCGUCCGGCCACCUCCGGCCACCGCCUAGCCCCGCCGGACUUCCCCGGCGUCCCCCUCGUCCUUCGCCGGCCUUCCCUCGCCGUUUUGGCCGCCGGAUCUGCUCCGACCAGCCAAGGGCAGAAACCCACGAAAUGGGUUUCCAGCUGGUUUGGGCCCGUUUUAGGCCGUUUCCCGGCCCCGAACCCGAGCCGUGCUUUGGGAACAAUCGUUCCUCGCGCCGCCGCCGUCGGAUUGGUCCGAUUUGCGCGCGAUUUGGUGAGUGAUCUCACUAAUCCAGGAUUAGUGGCUAAUUUAUGCUUAAGGUUGGUUUAGAUUUAAUUAAUCAUGUUUAGAUUGUUAGAUUAGAUUAAAUUAGCAAUUAUUAGCCAAUUGUGAUGUGAAUUAGAUAAAUUGAAUGUGUAAUUAGCAAGUAGACAUGGUCUACUAAUUAUUGGAAGUGCCUCGGGAUUUUUCCCGACCCUUAGUGGGCUCCAAUUAGGCUUUUCGGGCCUAAGUGGAUUUUUUAGUAUUUAAUUAUUAAUUUUCGGAAUUAAAUUAAAUAAUUAUUUAUUUUACGAAAAUUCAACUGAGAUGUCUCGGGACCGGAAUAUUAUGCCGAUGACCGUGGUGAAGUCCGUUUAUUUAAUCGGGCUUUAUUUUGAGCUGAAGUUUAAUUUUCAAAAUUAAUUAAUUAAUUAAUUAAUUUCCGAAAAUUCAAUUGAGAUGGUAGAUGACCGGAAUAUUAUGCUGAUGACCAUGGUGAAGUCCGUUUAUUUAAUUGGGCUUUAUUUUCUGUUAAAUUGAAUUUGUAAUAUUUAUUAAUUAAUUAUUUUUCGGAAAUUAAGAUUUUGAUGGCCGACGACAGAAAUCUCGUGCUGAUCAUCGUGGCGCAGUUCGUUUAUUUAUUUGAGCUCUACGUUGCAUGGAAUUAAAUAAAUUGUGAUGUUUUAGGGAUUUACCCUAAUUUGAUUGGAAUCGAUUGAGAUUGAAUUAUUGAUUUGGUGUUUGGCCAAGUAUGUUAUUCGGCAUUUAUAAUGUUUUGUUGAGUUGAUUUAAUUAUUUGAUUGAGAAAUUGUUGGGCAUUGGUUGUCGGUAUUGAAAGAAGAUUGGUAAUCUCUUGAAAGAGGACACGUGGCUCGGUGAAUUGGAAUGUCACCUGGAAAAUGCACGUGAGUUCAGUGGUUGAAUAUGUCACCUUGGCGAAAAGGUCGCCUGAGAGAAUGCACGUGGCUCGGAGACUCGGUAUGUCGUCCUGGAGAAUGCACGUGGCUCGGUGACAGAGUUUGGCAUCUAAAAGGACACGUGGGCUCGGUGAAUUGAUGCAUCACUUUGGUGAGAUAGCACUUAAGAGAAUGCACGUGGGCCCGGGCAUCGUAAAAAGGGCACGUGGGCUCGGUGAAUUGAUGCAUCACUUUGGUGAGAUAGCACCUAAGAGAAUGCACGUGGGCCCAGGCAUCUAAAAGGGCACGUGGGCUCGGUGACUUGAUGUAUCACUUUGGCGAAGAGGUCGCCUAAGAGAAUGCACGUGGGCCCGAGGUUCGAGGCACGUGGACUCGGAGACUUGGAAUGUCGUCCUAGAGAAUGCACGUGGCCUCGCUUUUAGAUACUCCUCCGUGGAGAGUGAUUUGUUUGACAUGUAAUCGACUAGGUCGAUGCUUUGAUUUGAUGUUGUGAAUUGAUUGACUGAAUGGAAAUGACUGUGAGUGGUCUUGUUGGCAUAUAAUCGACUAGGUCGAUUUGAUCGAUGCUUCGAUCGGUGAUAUGAUUGCUUGGGUGCCUAUUAUGAAUUGUACUGACUUGCAGGUGGGAUCAGAGGCCAAGGUAAGUCCUCUGCCCUGUGCGUGUUUAGGCAGCCUUUAGUAUAUUGGUUUGCUAAUCGGGCUUAGUGGGGUAGAACUCGCUGAGACGUAGUCUCAUCCCAGUUUGGGGAAAACCAUUUCAGGACCCCGCCGAAGAGCUGUGGAGGAGGAAUCCGAGAAGGAGAACUCGGAGGAGAGAUCUGAAGAAAAUGAUUUUUGGAAGAAGAAGACAAUUCUGAGAGGGGCCUUGAGUACGGCCUAGUUCAUCUAAGUUUCUGUCUUCUUUUGAGAUCUCCGUUUUGAUGUGAAUAGUUAUGAAAGGGUUUGUGGUUUGUAUAAAAGUGUGGUUAUAAAUUUCAAUAUGAAAAAUAUGGCCCUGCUUUUCUA